GAGAGAGGCUUGCUAGCAACAAAGACUGCUAAUCUUUGCACCCUUGGUUGAACUCCAAGGCCCUUUCACAAU
rnacentral:tRNA from 1 species